UGAAUCCAUAGGUUAAUGAGGCGAACCGGGGGAACUGAAACAUCUAAGUACCCCGAGGAAAAGAAAUCAACCGAGAUUCCCCCAGUAGCGGCGAGCGAACGGGGAGCAGCCCAGAGCCUGAAUCAGUGUGUGUGUUAGUGGAAGCGUCUGGAAAGGCGUGCGAUACAGGGUGACAGCCCCGUACACAAAAAUGCACAUGCUGUGAGCUCGAUGAGUAGGGCGGGACACGUGGUA
rnacentral:rRNA from 1 species